CCUACGGGUGGCAGCAGUGAGGAAUAUUGGUCAAUGGCCGCAAGCCUGAACCAGCCAAGCCGCGUGAAGGAUGAAGGCCCUACGCAUUGUAAACUUCUUUUGUCAAGGAAUAAAGUGAGGCACGUGAGCCUUAUUGAAUGUACUUUAUGAAUAAGGAUCGGCUAACUCCGUGCCAGCAGCCGCGGUAAUACGGAGGAUCCGAGCGUUAUCCGGAUUUAUUGGGUUUAAAGGGUGCGUAGAUGGGUUGUUAAGUCAGGUGGGAAAGGUCGGGGCUCAACCGUAGAAGUGCAAUUGAUACUGGCAGCAUUGAGUAGAGUAGAGGUAGGCGGAAUUCGGGGUGUAGCGGUGAAAUGCUUAGAUAUUACGAAGAACUCCGAUUGCGAAGGCAGCCUACUAAACUGCCUCUGACGCUGAGGCUCGAAAGCGUGGGUAUCAAACAGGAUUAGAUACCCUUGUAGUC
rnacentral:rRNA from 1 species